ACACAUGCAAGUCGAACGAGCGAGAGAGAGCUUGCUUUCUCGAGCGAGUGGCGAACGGGUGAGUAACGCGUGAGGAACCUGCCUCAAAGAGGGGGACAACAGUUGGAAACGACUGCUAAUACCGCAUAAGCCCACGGGUCGGCAUCGACCAGAGGGAAAAGGAGCAAUCCGCUUUGAGAUGGCCUCGCGUCCGAUUAGCUAGUUGGUGAGGUAACGGCCCACCAAGGCAACGAUCGGUAGCCGGACUGAGAGGUUGAACGGCCACAUUGGGACUGAGACACGGCCCAGACUCCUACGGGAGGCAGCAGUGGGGAAUAUUGCACAAUGGGGAAACCCUGAUGCAGCGACGCCGCGUGGAGGAAGAAGGUCUUCGGAUUGUAAACUCCUGUUGUUGGGGAAGAUAAUGACGGUACCCAACAAGGAAGUGACGGCUAACUACGUGCCAGCAGCCGCGGUAAAACGUAGGUCACAAGCGUUGUCCGGAAUUACUGGGUGUAAAGGGAGCGCAGGCGGGAAGACAAGUUGGAAGUGAAAUCUAUGGGCUCAACCCAUAAACUGCUUUCAAAACUGUUUUUCUUGAGUAGUGCAGAGGUAGGCGGAAUUCCCGGUGUAGCGGUGGAAUGCGUAGAUAUCGGGAGGAACACCAGUGGCGAAGGCGGCCUACUGGGCACCAACUGACGCUGAGGCUCGAAAGUGUGGGUAGCAAACAGGAUUAGAUACCCUGGUAGUCCACACCGUAAACGAUGAUUACUAGGUGUUGGAGGAUUGACCC
rnacentral:rRNA from 1 species